GACACAGGUGGCGCUGCUGCGCUUCACUCGACUCAGAGAAUAAGCGAAUAACUGUAAACAACGUAAAUGCUAUCUGAGGUGGGCCAGGUGACUAGCACAAUGUCUAAAAAAAUAAACGUGGACAGUGAAUAUCAGCAAUUCCAACCAAGAUGGGAAACAGACAAUUUAUUCUAUCUCUUUCGUCCUCCUUUUCAACCUGCUUUGUGAAGAAGCAAGCAAUUACACAAUAAAUAACUCUGCUACACAAUAACAAUAACUCUAAAGGACAUCUAUGGAGAAAAGAGAGAGCUGUCUAAACGCUAACCGCCUGGAUAUCAGUCUGCUCUAAGCUAAUGAGAAAGAAGCAGCAUUCCUGAAAGACCCCAACAAAGCAAAGAACUCUGGGAAACAGGACCACAUGGAAUCCGAUAAACAUGAACUUCUGGAAUUCGGUACGUCAGGGUUCUGCUUGAGAGGACUAUUGGCCUAAAGUCUACUGUAUGCAGCUGCACAUUUUCCACUAAACAACAUGACCAACAACGCCUGUGGCACUGAUUCUUAUCUCAGCCGACCGUGCCAGCUUGUCUGAAGAUGACACUGGUGUUGUAACCAGCUCAGUCCUAAAUCUCCUCUGACACUUCAAUGAAACACAUAAAAUAUUGCAAGCACGGUCUAAUAAAUAUUUAUAUGCCAGAACUCAAUAGUCUUUUUUUUUGUGCAUUACAUGUAGGAUCUAAAAAUACAGGAAGCCUUGAACAGGAGAACAGGAAAAUUCCCAUUAAUCUGUACUACAAGCUACUGGUCUAUGACUUGCAUUAUGCAGCUGGCUGGACUUCCACUGGGAGGGAAAGAGUCUUGGCAUCAGGAUAUCAGGAUGUAGGCGGAGUCAAGAAAAGUGCUGUACCAUACUUUCACUGAGAAUCCACUCCAGCGGGAUAGUUCCAACAAGUCAUUCGCUAUAAGCGUGUUAUACACCCGAUGUAUACGGACUGCAUGUUGUCACAUGUAUGUUGAAUUUUCUUGCACUGACUUGCUUGUUUCCAAUGAAGAAUCAUUUUAAACAUUCACAUUGCAAAUUUGCAUGUCAUGUAAAUGCUAUCAAAUCGUCCACUGAUCUGUCUCUUAGAAUAAACUUCCUUUGAUUUACAAGAA